CGUGAGGCUGCUUUUCUGUGACUCAGAACCAGCGCAUCCCGCCGCUCACUGCAGGGGAUGAGCUGGAGAUGAUCCGGCCCAGCGUCUACCGCAACGUGGCGCGUCAGCUGCACAUCUCCCUGCAGUCUGAGCCUGUGGUGACCGAUGCGUUCCUGGCCGUGGCUGGCCACAUCUUCUCUGCAG
rnacentral:sRNA from 1 species